rnacentral:snRNA from 1 species
UGAUUGCAAGCUGUUAAAACCGCGACAAAU